AUGAUGACACGAGCGCGGCGUCGGCGGCUUUGCCUCCUCGCAGAAUGGAGGGAUUGGGCCAACCUGCUUCCUCCGGACCUCGUUGAGGAGAUCUCUGACCGGCUGCUCUCCCUCGACGUGGCCGAGUAUCUCCGCUUCCGCGCUGUGUGCAGGACGUGGCGCGGACUCACCGCCGACCCGCGCACAGCAGGCCUCCUUGACAGCCGCUUCCGCCCCCGCAACUGGAUGGUGCUCUCCAUCAUUCCUGACCCCGAGCCCCACCGCCGCCUCCUCAACUUGGCCACUGCGGCCUCUCUCGGUGUCCACCUCCCGGCCAUCUCCACCCACUGCCACAUCUGCGACGUCGACGGCCUCCUCGUCCUCUUCCACAAGCCCACCACGACCAUCCGCCUCCUCGACCCACUCACCAACGCCCUCACCGAGUUCCCGGCAAUCUCGAGCCUCGUUUCGGCCGUCCCCCUGGAUCACCACACCGUCUUGUUUCAGAAUCCCCUGGGCACUAUUCCGAGGGCGAUCAAUGCCGCAGCUUUUGAUGACUCCACAUCCCCGCCCACACUCCUCCUCUGCCUGAGAGGCGGUUUGGCCACCAUCAUCUUCGCCAAACCUGGCGAUGCGCACUGGACGCUGGUGAUCCCAGGCCAGUCCACCCACCCCAGGAACUACAAUAUCAACAGGUACUGUUCUUCACAUUGCUCUCCCUGGGAGGACACUGCUACAUCAGCUCGCCGGAGGGUUCGGUCUACCUUUUAG
rnacentral:rRNA from 1 species